UUAUUCAGACUUCUUAAAAGUCUACCUUCUUCCUCUGUACUUUCAGCCCAAAGUGAGACUUUUGAGUUGGGAAGAGAUACUUCUGAAUUAAACUACUAAUCACUGUCACCCAAUUCUAAUCCCAACCAUCUUUAUUCUAGGCAUACCAUACUCACUGCCAUGCUUACCCUUCAGUUGGGCACCUUUGCCCUCCUUCCUAUUGGCCUUCUGGUUCCUACCCAACUGUCCAGUCCAUAGGCUUCAAUGACACCUUUUUCCCACACCUGUGGCAGCGUUGGCUGCCUCCUUUACCUACUCAAGUAACCGCUUUACCGCUAAUUUAUUGCUCUCUGUUUUCAUCUAUAGGAUCUUACCUAGCCAUAUGGCCUGCUGCCUCUGCCAACUUAAAAACAGCAUUGAGGCUGUCUGCAAGACAGUCAAGCUGCAUUGCAACAGUGCAUGUCUGACAAACACCAUACAUUGUCGUUUAGGAUUGGGUGUGUGUGUCUCCUCUCUGAAUGGCACUCAAAUGUUUGCUGACUCCUACUCUGUGUGACUGGGGUGUACAGCUAUGGACUGAUGCAUCCCAUCCCAUCAUCUUUCAUGAGCAAAGCAGUCUCUUUUUUGACAGCUGAAGAAGAAUCUGUAGGGAAUCCAGAAGGAGCAUUCAUGAAGACGUUACAAGCCCGGAAGAAUUACACAAGCACUGAGCUGACUGUUGAGCCGGAGGAGCCCUCAGACAGCAGUGGCAUCAACUUGUCAGGCUUUGGGAGUGAGCAGCUAGACACCAAUGACGAGAGUGAGGUUAUCAGUGCACUAAGUUACAUUUGCCAUAUUUCUCAGCAGUAAACCUAGAUGUGGAAUCAAUGUUACUACCGUUCAUUAAACUGCCAACCACAGGAAACAGCCUGGCAAAGAUUCAAACUGUAGGCCAAAACCAGCAAAAAGUGAAUAGAGUCCUCAUGGGCCCAAGGAGCAUCCAGAAAAGGCACUUCAAAGAGGUGGGAAGGCAGAGCAUCAGGAGGGAACAGGGUGCCCAGGCAUCUGUGGAGAACGCUGCCGAAGAAAAAAGGCUCGGGAGUCCAGCCCCAAGGGAGCUGGAACAGCCUCACACACAGCAGGGGCCUGAGAAGUUAGCGGGAAACGCCAUCUACACCAAGCCUUCGUUCACCCAAGAGCAUAAGGCAGCAGUCUCUGUGCUGACACCCUUCUCCAAGGGCGCGCCUUCUACCUCCAGCCCUGCAAAAGCCCUACCACAGGUGAGAGACAGAUGGAAAGACAACACACACACUAUUUCCAUUUUAGAAAGUGCAAAGGCUAGAGUUACAAAUAUGAAGGCUUCUAAACCAAUUUCACAUUCCAGAAAAAAAUACCGCUUUCACAAAACUCGCUCCCGCAUGACCCACAGAACACCCAAGGUCAAAAAGAGUCCAAAGUUCAGAAAGAAAAGUUAUCUGAGUAGACUGAUGCUCGCAAACAGGCCUCCGUUCUCUGCAGCGAAGAGCCUCAUAAAUUCCCCUUCACAAGGGGCUUUUUCAUCCUUAGGAGACCUGAGUCCUCAAGAAAACCCUUUUCUGGAAGUAUCUGCUCCUUCAGAACAUUUUAUAGAAACCACUAAUAUAAAAGACACAACUGCAAGAAAUGCCUUGGAAGAAAAUGUUUUUAUGGAAAACACUAACAUGCCAGAAGUCACCAUCUCUGAAAACACAAACUACAAUCAUCCUCCUGAGGCAGAUUCCGCUGGGACUGCAUUCAACUUAGGGCCAACUGUUAAACAAACUGAGACAAAAUGGGAAUACAACAACGUGGGCACUGACCUGUCCCCCGAGCCCAAAAGCUUCAAUUACCCAUUGCUCAGUUUGAAAUUCAGCUAACCCAGCAGCUACAGUCCCUUAUCCCCAACAAUGUGAGAAGGCUCAUUUCUCAUGUUAUCCGGACCUUGAAGAUGGACUGCUCUGGGGCCCAUGUGCAAGUGACCUGUGCCAAGCUCAUCUCCAGGACAGGCCACCUGAUGAAGCUUCUCAGUGGGCAGCAGGAAGUAAAGGCAUCUGAGAUAGAAUGGGAUACGGACCAAUGGAAGACUCAGAACUACAUUAAUGAGAGCACGGAAGCCCAGAGUGAACAGAAAGAGAAGUCGCUUGAGGUGAGGACCACACAGAAACAUGAGACCCAGAUUUCCCAUCAUUUAGCAUAUCCCAGGAAAGUGCCCACACAGAAGAAUCUGGGACUCCCAGGCCAUAGCUUAUCUUGGCCAUGUAACUUUGGUCAUGACAGUGAUCUCCCACUUUGCUCAUGUAGAGAGUGAAAUAUAGAUUAGGGCACAAGAUGAACUGUAGGCCAGGGGUGGUAGCUCAUGCCUGUAAUCUCAGCACUUUGGGAGGCCAAGGUGGGUGGAUUACUUGAAGUCAGGAGUUUGAGACCAGCUUGGCCAACAUAGUGAAAGCCUGUCUCCACAAAAAAUAAAAAAAUUAGCUGGGUUGAUGACACGUGCCUGUAGUCCCAGCUACUUGGGAGGCUGAGGUGGGAGGGUCACCUGAGCCCAGGGAGGUCGAGUCUAGUGAACGGUGAUUGCACCACUGUACCCCAGCCUGGGUAACAGAGUGAGACCCUCUUUCAAAAAAAUAAAAAAGAACCUGUAAGCUACUCACCUGGAAUACUGGGGUUUUGAAUAGUUAGCUCUCAUUCUGGUGUGUUUUUUUUUGUUUUGUUUUUUUGUUUUUUUUAGCUCACAAAAUAAGUUCCAGGAUAUGGCUAUACUGACAAACUCAUCUUGGCAUUAAUUGUGACUGAAAUACUAAUGAUUUUUAUUAUACUUUUCUGCCUCAUUGUGGUAAGGACAAUAAUUAAUUCAGGUUGUCAGAAUGCAGUCCUGUUUCUGUGUGGAUUCAGAGCUCACAAACUGAAAACCAAAGCCACUUUCCCACCUGCUGCUACUUGACAUACUUCUUCAGUCAUUUAAGGCUGAGGUGUAUGCUUUGUUCUUUUAUUGCAGUGUAUAUUUCAGGAUUUUUAAAAGAUCCUCGCUUCCAGAUCUCUGUGAAUUGAAACCAAGUUAAUCCCACUAGACUAUUUUAAGAAGUCGAUAUAAUAGCAAAAUUUCUCCACCCAAAACUAUGUCAACAAUUGGAUGUACUCAUCAAGUCACCCUUACUCUGCCACUAAUUUAUUUCCUUGGUGCUGAAAUGAUGAGAGAGGUAUAAUCUCCACCCUCACGGAUUUGUCAUCACCCUGGAGAGGAAGGAGAGAGCCAAAAGACAGAAGUAUUGUCUUGUAGACUUAUUAGAUUUACACAGUAUCGUCCUCCAGUGUGUAAGGCAUUGUCUAAAUAGGUCCAGUUAAAGCACUACAGAGUAGCCAUCUUUUACAAAAAUUGUUGGCCACAUUUUUAAGUUCACAGGCGAGGGGGAACGUCUCAUACUCUAGCCCUCCUGAGCCUAGACCCUCUGUGAGAUGUGUCACCAUUUCUUGGACACCAUGUGAGACAUUCCCCCUCAGAUUAGAGAUGCUCAGCCUGCAUCAACUUAUCUAAAGCCUACAUCUGGCUACUCUGGGGCAAGUCCUGUUUACAGUGCCCAUUCCUGGAGCUUGCCUCUGUUUGUCUUUUGUUCGAUUACAUGAUAUAUUACUUUUCCCAACAGGCCAGUGCUAGCAUAUUGGAAGAGUGAUUUAAUAAAGCUGGCAACCUUGACGCUAUGCCACCAGUCCAACCUUAUUUGCCUCAUUUACCAUUUCCAUUAUUGUGGCAGCCCUCCAUUCCAGCCACAGCAGCCCCUCACUAUACCCCAGUCACACCACCCACAUUUCUGCUUCUGUCUGUGUGUUUGUCCAUCUAAAAUGCCCUUAUUUCACUCUGCCUGUGGGAGUCCUAUGCAUCUCUCAAAAGCCAACACAAGUUCAUCUUUCUUCUUGACACCUUCCCUGAAUAUUCCAGCCGUGCUGAGCCUAGUCCCUUUGUGAGAUUUGUCACCAUUUCUUGGACACCAUAUGAGAGACUUCAGAGGCUGAAGUGGGAGGAUCGCUUGAGCCUGGGAGGUCGAGGAUGCAGUGAGCUGUGGUCGUACCACUGCACUCUAGCCUGGGCAACACAGCGAGGCCCUGUCUUAAAAACAGCCACCACCAAAAACUAUCUUGGGAUUUGAAUAGGAUUACGUUAAAUUUGUAGAUUAAUUUGAGAAUUUACAUCUGUACGACAUUGUAGGAAUGUGCUGUCUCAUGAUGGAACUAACAAGGAUACACCUGCUGUCCCCAGCCCUUUUGGGAGGUGGGGAGGGAUAGGAAGGAGAAAGGUUUUGGUGCCUAUUGCUGCUGAUGGUGGGCAUCAGGCCAGGCCAGGGGCCUUCUUGGAGGCUCUGGGAAAGGGGAAGGGAAGGCCACCGGGUGUGAGAGAGAGGGCACUUGUCUCCUUCAAGGCUGAUGGAAGGUAGGAUAUGUGAGUCCUUCCUCUUAAGUGGCAGGAAACAGUAUUUUCUCUUUUCUUUUUUUCCCCUGGAUACUAGAACUGAGGAAACACUAUUUUCUCAUCUUACUGGUUUUUGCGCCCCCACUCUAUUCCUUUUACACAAACCUCACAGAAUUUUAACCAGAAAGGCCAGGCAGGAUGGCUCACGCCUGUAAUCACAGCACUUUGGGAUCACUUGAGGUUAGGAGCUCGUGACCAACCUGACCAACAUGGUGAAACCCCAUCUCUACUAAAAAUACUAAAUUAGCUGGGUGUGGUGGCACAGGCAUGUAAUCCCAGCUAUUUGGGAGGCUGAGGCAGGAGAACUGCUUGAAACCAGGAGGCGCAGGUUGCAGGGAGCCAAGAUAGCACCAUUGCACUCCAGCCUGGGGAACGAGCCAAACUGUCUCAAAUAAAAAAAAACAACAAAAAAGAAUUUUAACUACGGAGAACUUAGAUAGUAGUUUGUCCUUUUAUGACAGGAAAACUGAGAAGGAGAAAGGGAGAGUGUCUUACCCCAUGGUCACACAAUGCACUCUGCCUUUUCCUAUUUUAUUCAAAUUCAAAAAUAACAUGUUGUGGUUUAAGCUGAUUUCGCAGCUCACUCACUCAUCAGCGACAGCCAGCUGUAUGAAGACUGUGAGAUAGAGAACUUGGCUAGCUGCACUCAGGCAUUUGCUUGAGGUGAUCCAACUUAUAGAAUAAAGUAUCUAGAAAAGGAAGAACCACUUCAUCUCCCACCCCCCAUCAAAUGAUGCCUGUGAGACUAAGUCCGAAGGGGACUGAUAUAAAAUGCUUCUGCCCAGCAUGGUUGUGCAGUUUGUUCACUGCACAAGGGCACUUGGCCAAGGGGAUGAGUGGGAAUGAACAUCCUGCCCCUGCUCCAUGCUGAGCCACAUACAAAGUCCCCCCAGUAUAUUGUGGGGCCCUUCUGGACAGACAUGGAGAGCUUCUGAAAGUCCCACAUGCAUGGAAUUAUUUUCAAGACCCCAGGUAUGUGGUCUGUGGUGGUUCUUCUCCCUGUGAUUAUGGACUGAGAUACUCAUUUAGUUCUAAUAAGACCAGAGAAGUACAUUGUGAGAUACGUGGGAAACGGCUGCAUCACUCACUGUCUUGUGCAUGUGUCUCCCCAGGGGCAUUUUCAGAUUUCUGCCACGGAGAUGCUCUUCGCAAAGGGAGAGUCAGGUACAUUGGAGGAUUCAUUGCUGUGACCAGGGAAAGCAGAGGACAUGCAAAAUUAAUAUUUCCCUUUCUAUCUUCUAGGAUGGACUUUUUUCAUUCAGAAAGCCGCUCUGGCUUAAAGACAUGUACAAACCUCUCAGUGCCACAAGAGUAAAGAAUCACGCAUGGAAGCUGCACAAGAAGUCAUCUAAUGAGGACAAGAUCCUCAACAGGGACCCUGGGGACAGUGAAGCCCCAACAGAGAAGGAGGAGGAGAGUGAAGCCCUGCCAUAGGAGGAGAACCCAGCCCACCUCAGGCCUCCUGCAAAAACACAUAGCAUAAACAAUACCAUCAGAAAGAAAAGCAGGACUGAAGCCAGCAGCCCACACAUCCACAGAGGCAGCGGGCAGAGCAAGCACAGGGCCAUCGUUCCUGCCCUUGUUUCCCAGUCUAAUUAGUCACCCAGACCUGAAAACAUAUCCUCAGGGGGUGGAGAUUUUACAAUUAAAUACCAUUGUUUUUGGUGCCCUCUCCCUGGGUUCAUCAAGCACCAGUCAUAUAAUACCACAUACUUGAACUCCUGCCCACAGGGGACCUCCCAUCUCCUGGCCCCUAUUAUAGGAUCACUGGGCCUACCUGCACUGUGGGGCCAAGCCCUGUCUUUUUCCCAAGCCCUCAAGCACACGCAUGAAUGUUCAUCCCGACUUGGUAGGGGGCUUUUCACCCUUACAAGAUGGCAAAAGAUUCACACUGCUUUUUUUAAAAUUUGUUUUUCUUUUUAAAAAUCCCAACCCUUGGAUAGCAAGGGAGGUGCUGGAGGGGUAGGGUCAAGAAGAGUGUGUGAGAACAGUAAUUUCCCAAGACUGCCCUCUGCGGGACUGUAUUUCAGAAAACACACUGGUGGGGCUACCUCUCCAUUCACAUGUACUGCCCUAGCCUCUCCCCAUCCCCGGCUGAUGCACUUCCAUAUCUGCACUGUUCCAUAACAGCAGUAGCAUGUUGCAGAAAGCGCUAGGAUUCCUCCACUCCAUCUUCAAAGAAAAAGUCGCUAAUAAAUCACAUUUGGUAGGUUAGUGAACGUUAAACACAUUAGUGAGCAAAAGAAAAUAGGAAUGAACAAGAAUUGGUCAUCUACCUAACUGAACACAAAUGAACUCUGGCAGUUCGGUAAUAGGAGGUAAAGAACCGCGCUAAUUGCAGAACAGCAGCCCCCCUACCUUCCCAGGAGCAGUGUGACUGGGAAGCAGCCCCGUGUGUAUGCUGGUGCAGGUUCUAAGCAAAGUGAGCUGCCCAUCAGUUCUGAUGAGUUUGCUGAUGCUAGACAUAUGACAUCUGUUCUCUUGCUGCCUGCCCCAGUUAUCUCCCAAAGUUCUUUACUGAGAAUGAAAAGCAUCUUUCUCUGUGUGGUGACUUCAGUAGGCCAACAAAUAUUUGAGUUUAAAGCACAAGACUAAAUAGUCAUAGGCAGAGCAGUGCUACCAUUUACAAUUUGCUUACUUGAUGCUAAACCAUGGGUUAGGCAUUUUACAGUCAUAUCAUCUAGCCCAGCAAGUCAUGGAAGCAUAGUUGUUAAAAUCAUCUGAUACUUUGGGAGGCUGGGGCGGGCAGAUCACGAGGUCAGGAGAUCGAGACCAUCCUGGCUAACAUGGUGAAACCCUGUCUCUACUAAAAAUACAAAAAAAUUAGCCACGGGUGGUGGCAGGAGCCUGUAGUCCCAGCUACUCAGGAAGCUGAGGCAGGAGAAUGGCGUCAACCCGGGAGGUGGAGCUUGCAGUAAGCCGAGAUCAUGCCACUGCACUCCAGCCCGGGCAAGAGAGUGAGACUUCGUCUAAAAAAAAAAAAAUCAUCAUCUGACAGAUAAGGAUACAGGGCUUGAAGAACAUAGGUGACCUGCCCCAAGUGUCCAAAGCCACACAUCCAAAAUGACAAAUUAGGGUUUUAAGCCAGCACUCUUAGACUUCAAAGCCUCUUAACCAUUCCACUGCCCUGCUGUAGGGCAUAGGGAGAUAAGGGGGAUAAGCUAUGGUUGCCAUCAAAGAGUUAAUAUAUCAAUAAUAUGCGGAUGGUGAGGAUGAUGGCAGCUGCUAGGGGUCUACAGGCGUGUACCACCAUGCCCAGCUACAAUUCUUAUUAUUCCCAAAUGCUACUGUGUCCGGAAUUGGUGGGUUCUUGGUCUUACUGACUUCAAGAAUGAAGCCGCGGAACCUCGCGGUGAGUGUUACAGCUCUUAAGGUGGUGCGUCUGGAGUCUGUCCGUUCUGAUGUUGAGAUGUGUUCGGAGUUUCUUCCUUCUGGUGGGUUCGUGGUCUCGCUGGCUCAGGAGUGAAGCUGCAGACCUUCACGGCAAGUGUUACAGCUCUUAAGGCAGCGCGUCUGGAGUUGUUUGUUCCUCCCGGUGGGCUCGUGGUCUCGCUGGGCUCAGGAGUGAAGCUGCAGAUCUUCGCGGUGAGUGUUACAGCUCAUAAAAGCAGCGUGGACCUAAA
rnacentral:lncRNA from 1 species